rnacentral:lncRNA from 1 species
GACCUCUUUCAAGUAGGCAUCAAAAGCAUAUUUCUGAGGAUGCCAUAGGUGGUCUUCUAAUUAUCGAGACAUCCCUGAUGUGUGAUGAAUCCGAAUCCUAUCCUUAGUCCAUUGACCCCCCGAUCGAGUUUGACUCCACCUAGGUUAAGCUAGUCCGAGGGGUAGGGAGCAUAAUCGACUUUGAAGGUCGAGUUUGAAGGGGAGAAACCAAAAUGGCCCCCUCCUGAGGUAGAGUUGGGAGAACCACUUCC